rnacentral:tRNA from 1 species
GGCAGAGUCGUGUAGUGGUUAGCAUACCCGACUGGAUAAUCGGAGACCCGGAGUUCAAACCCGGGCUCUGCCA